UGAUGUUGUUUCAGCUAUUGCAGAUGUCUGCCUGGCAUCCAUUUGCUACCACGGUGGAGUGUCAGUCGGCUUUAGGUCCUGCGUCAUCUCUGCUAUUCCUGUGCAGAUAUCCUGGAUGCUUUACAGCCUUCUCAAAUGGCACUGGGCACCUGUGCCUUGGACAGGAAUCCUGGCCUUUGCUUUGUGAAGCAGCACGUUCCUGAAGGGCCACAACAAUGUGGUCAUGGUCGCAGCCAAGCAUGGCAGCAGUGAGCAAGUUGAACAAAUCUUUGAACAGGACGAUUGAAGUGUUUUGGUUUGGUUUGGUUGGAAGACUGUACUAGUUUGCCAGAGGGAAUUCAGAGGAAACCAGAAUACUUUCCCAAAGAGAAGUUUUCUUCCACUUUUCUCCAAGGAAAUCUUUUCCUGAACCAGCUGAGGAAGGGGCCAAUUGAAUCUGCUUUCUAGAGGAACGCCUUUGGAAGUUUCCUCCCAAAUUUGCCCUAAACCAGAACAAAUACACUCAGCAAAUAAAGAGCUUUGCCCGGCACUGACCUGCGGCUGCAGGUAAAACAAGCAGGACAAGCAGAGAUGCUGCUCAGCAUUUGUGCACCAUGAGAGCAGCAUGUGACUGUACUGGUAGAAGGCAGAGAAGAUAAGGACUUGCUGUCACAGAGGAGACACUGCUGCAGAGUGCACUGCUGCAAGAGUCAAGGCUUGAGGCACUGUGCCACUGGUGCUGAGGUGAAGGGCACUGAGUUGGAUAGAAGGAUCAGAGGAGUGGUCUAUCUAAUCUGGGAUCUUGGCACUGAAAAUGGUUAGUGCUAACUGCUGUGGAGAAACCGCCUCUUUUUCUCUUAUUAUUUCAAUCUUCUGAUAUGAAGUGGCCCUUUUUUCUCAACAGUAAGAAUAUCUGUUUCUAAAAAAGAAUUUAACUUUGCACUACUCAUUCUGUAGUCCCCAAACUUGUCUUUUUACAGAACUUGAAGUUUUCCUGCUUUUUGUGUGUUUAGGAGACAGUGGGGGAAUGGACAAAAAAUUUUAAAGUGCUGAGGCCACUAGUGUAUUUUUUUUUCCAUUCCACCAUUUGGUUUAGCACUUUCUCCUAAGCCACCUUUUCAUGUAAUGUUAAUUAGUAUGACACCAAUAUUCUGUAUAGUUUUGGAAGUAGUAUCUUCCGAGAUGAAGACGAAAGUAAUGAAAAAUGAAUGUUCAAGCCUCACACUUCCCUGUCCAUAACGCUUCUCUUACAAUUUCAUUUGGUUUAAUUUACAUUUCUUGUCCAAUCUCUUGAAACAAACACUUGCCUGGUGUAUCUCUUUUCAUUUGUAUUACCAAAUGACCAUCAUAUCAUAAAGGCAGGUAUGCCAAACACUUACUAUUUAUCAAUAAUUUGAUUUGUUGUUGUGCAGCAAAUAACACGGGAAUCUGCGGUUUCCUUUCUUCACCAAAAAGGGGUGAUACUUGGGUGUCGUUUUAUAUCAACCAUGGCUAAUCUAUUUCUAAACACCAAAAAGGUGGUGAGAGGGUGUCUGUCCUUGGUCCUUGUGUUGUGUCAGCAGCAGCAGCACUCGUCCAGCUGUACAGCUGCACAGAGGACUGGAUCUGGCUGACUGCUGAGGAUGCAUCUCCAUGUGCUGACACAAAGCGUGGAGGACAGACAGGAUUGCCAUCCUUGGGCUUCUCCACUGCAACUCAGAGAGUCCUGGGGCCCCUGUGCCUUUCCUGCUUUGGGGACACUGGCAGAAUAAAGGUGGAACCGCCAGCAAGCACAUUCCUGGAGCUCCACAGAGGAUACUGCCCUGCUCAUUGUUGCCACUCUUGCUGAGUGAUGCUCCACAUCAGGAAUGAAUGCAGCCCGAGAUAUACAUACCAAGUGGCACAGAAGAGAGAAAUGAAUGAAUUCCUCAUGGAAAGUGCUUUAUGGAGAGCUCCUUUUUAUCUUCACAAGUCUUGGAGAAACAGCAGUGAAUUCCCCUGCCUCACUUCACCCCUAGGCUGGCCCCCUGCAUGUGUCUCUCACAUAAGGAGCUCUGUUUGAUUGCUCUCCUUCUUUUCUGUUGAGAACAUUCAAGUUUCCUGUACAAACUUCUGCAGACCACAGGUGUGGAUGUCCCUCCUGAAAUGGCACUUUCUGCUCUAUUCACACCAGAAGGCAACUGGAACUCACAUGUGAUUCUCCAUCCUCCUAGCACUUCAUAGAGACAUCUGACCAGAGACUGCUGAUGCACAGGCAGCUGGAAUAUGUGCUGUCUUAUACAGAGAAGGAGUGUGGGAAUAAGUAAACAGAAGGGCCAGAAAUCCUCACUCUAGGGAGCUGUGGAACUGAUACUGGAAGACUGUCAAGUCAGAAUAUCCCUAGAAUUGUAGGACAUGAGUUCAAGCCAUACAUAAAUCCAAAUUUCAGAGGCUUGAGCUCAGGUAAGACUCUGGAUUACAUGAAAUUUGUAAGAAAAGUACAGGAAAUCUGUAGUGAUUUCAUGUAUUUAAAACCUGUUCUCAAUCAAAUUAAGACAAAUAAGUUUCAACAGGAAAAAAAAAUAAACACAAACCAAAACCAACCAAAAAACAAACCAAAAGAACCUGGAAGGGAUUCCCAGAAUUCUGAAUUAAAAAAUUUUCAAAAAUUUAAGUUUAAGAUAUUACUUUACUUGAAAACUGUUUCAGGCUGAGGCAGGAUCUGAAUCUAAUCUUCACAGCCCUACAAAAUUAUUCUACAUAUAGAAGCUUAUCAAAUACAUAAUUACCUUAUUCUAGUUUGUAUUCUAGAACAAACAUGUCUGCACGAGCCAGUUAUUCAGUAAGGAUGCUACUUUUAUUCUUGAAUAAUUCCAUGUGCAGUCAAGCUCUCAGUCAAAUCACCACAACUCUGUAUGUAGAUGAAUUGUCAGUAUCUCUCUGCUUGCAUUUACAGGAAAUCUGUAUCUCUGUUACUAAAUGCAGCUGACAGAUCUGAAAAUGUCACAUUUGUUUGCAGAGUAAGCAUCUUAUAAGCUUUACCCCCAUUAGCCUACUACUCAUGUCCUUUGCAGGUGUUAUGAACUGCCUCUCCUUCCCAUUUUGUGUUAAAUGUCGUUAACAAACUAAUGAAUGCUAUGGAGCGAGGAAAAGUUUUUUCCUCCCUUGUUUGCCAAAAAGCAACAGGGUUUUUUUUUUUUUUUUUUGCCACAAAGAAGUUUUUGAGUAUGACAUUAACUUUAUAUAUAUAAGUCCAGGAGAAGAAAACUGAAUUGCUUUUCUUUGGGAAGGGGGAGGAAAUAAAUCUUUGUUCUAGUUCAGUAAAAAAUCCCUACUUAUUAGACCUUUUAACCAUAAAGACUUUUUUUCUUCAUACUGUUUGUGUUUAUCACCUAUGCUUGCCUAAUUCUGUCAUGAGUACUGUCUCAAAGCCUUAAUAAAACAUUAAUGUCCAAGCC